CCCAACCCUUUUCUUAUAGUCGGCUAAUCUUUCCACCCCUCCUUGUUCAAUCGUCGUGAGGCAAGGCCUUUAGAUGAGAGGCUUGGAGUAACAGGUAGUGAAGGUGUCUUGGGAGCCUCCUCAUCAUCCCAAUCAUCACCCCAACUGUUAUCCCAUCCAUUGUUGACUUCAGAUUCUGGUUUUCCCCCACCAGAAACUGGCAGAUCCAUGUUUAGACUUUGAUAUUUAGAGCUAAUGCUGAAGAGUUGCUUCCUCCGGAAGCUGAUGCACAUCCAACCUGCUGCCAGUAUUAGCAGUGCAGCAAUGGCCAAGACAACAAUGGUAGGAGUUGGUGACAUGAAGUUUAAAUACGUAGACUUCUGAGAGUUAUCAAACUCCUUAUCAAUCAAAUGUCUUAUAUCCAGGCUGCAGUGACCCUUUCCUGACUUUAGGACAAUCAAGUUGUCACUUCCUCCACUUGUAAUAGAGACCUUCACCUUUUUAUCUUCUUUUGCUUGGAGCUGAAUUUCUGUUUUCUCCAAUUGAACAAAAUCCGGAGCAGAAAUAGUAACUGUGAGAGGGUUUUUCCCUUUAUUCUGAAUUAAAAGUGAAUAUUGAUCAUUUCCUGGAACUCUUAAACAAGCAACCAAGUUGUUAUCCUCAUCUAUGCACUUGUUGGAAGGAUCAC
rnacentral:misc_RNA from 1 species